AACGAACGCUGGCGGCAGGCUUAACACAUGCAAGUCGAACGCCCCGCAAGGGGAGUGGCAGACGGGUGAGUAACGCGUGGGAAUCUACCCAUCUCUACGGAACAACUCCGGGAAACUGGAGCUAAUACCGUAUACGCCCUUCGGGGGAGAGAUUUAUCGGAGAUGGAUGAGCCCGCGUUGGAUUAGCUAGUUGGUGGGGUAAAAGCCUACCAAGGCGACGAUCCAUAGCUGGUCUGAGAGGAUGAUCAGCCACAUUGGGACUGAGACACGGCCCAAACUCCUACGGGAGGCAGCAGUGGGGAAUAUUGGACAAUGGGCGAAAGCCUGAUCCAGCCAUGCCGCGUGAGUGAUGAAGGCCCUAGGGUUGUAAAGCUCUUUCACCGAUGAAGAUAAUGACGGUACCAGGAGAAGAAGCCCCGGCUAACUUCGUGCCAGCAGCCGCCGUAAAAC
rnacentral:rRNA from 1 species